GACAUGUUCUCGCGAGAUUUGCCAUCCGCCCGGCCUGCACUGCGGCGUUUCCCGCGCGGGAUACCUCAGUUCCACCGCGUACGGCGCGGCCUUUCUUACCGCCGCCGGCGCCGCCGCCGUCAUGGGUUUCCUGAAGCUGAUUGAGAUCGAGAACUUUAAAUCGUACAAGGGUCGACAGAUUAUCGGACCAUUUCAGAGGUUCACCGCCAUCAUUGGACCCAAUGGCUCUGGUAAGUCAAAUCUCAUGGAUGCCAUCAGCUUUGUGCUGGGUGAAAAAACCAGCAACCUGCGGGUAAAGACCCUGCGGGACCUGAUCCAUGGAGCUCCUGUGGGCAAGCCAGCUGCCAAUCGGGCCUUUGUCAGCAUGGUCUACUCUGAGGAGGGUGCUGAGGACCGCACCUUUGCCCGUGUCAUUGUAGGAGGUUCUUCUGAGUACAAGAUCAACAACAAAGUGGUCCAACUACAUGAGUACAGUGAGGAAUUAGAGAAGUUGGGCAUUCUCAUCAAGGCUCGUAACUUCCUCGUCUUCCAGGGUGCUGUGGAGUCUAUUGCCAUGAAGAACCCCAAAGAGAGGACAGCUCUAUUUGAGGAGAUUAGUCGCUCUGGGGAGCUGGCCCAGGAAUAUGACAAGCGAAAGAAGGAAAUGGUGAAGGCUGAAGAGGACACACAGUUUAAUUACCAUCGCAAGAAAAACAUUGCGGCUGAACGCAAGGAGGCCAAACAGGAGAAAGAGGAGGCUGACCGCUACCAGCGCUUGAAGGAUGAGGUGGUACGAGCUCAGGUACAGCUGCAACUCUUUAAGCUUUACCAUAAUGAAGUGGAAAUUGAGAAGCUCAACAAAGAACUGGGCUCUAAGAACAAGGAGAUUGAGAAAGACAAAAAGCGUAUGGACAAAGUAGAAGAUGAGCUGAAGGAAAAGAAGAAAGAGCUAGGCAAAAUGAUGCGGGAGCAGCAGCAGAUUGAAAAGGAGAUCAAGGAGAAGGACUCAGAACUGAAUCAGAAGCGGCCUCAGUACAUCAAAGCCAAGGAGAAUACCUCCCACAAAAUCAAGAAACUGGAAGCAGCCAAGAAGUCUCUGCAGAAUGCUCAGAAGCACUACAAGAAGCGUAAAGGUGACAUGGAUGAGCUGGAGAAAGAGAUGCUGUCAGUGGAGAAGGCCCGGCAGGAGUUUGAAGAACGGAUGGAAGAAGAGAGCCAGAGUCAGGGCAGAGAUUUGACCCUGGAAGAAAAUCAGGUGAAGAAAUACCACCGGUUGAAAGAAGAAGCCAGCAAGAGAGCAGCUACCCUGGCUCAGGAGCUGGAGAAGUUCAAUCGAGACCAGAAAGCUGACCAGGACCGUUUGGACCUGGAAGAGCGGAAGAAAGUAGAGACAGAGGCCAAGAUUAAGCAAAAGCUGCGGGAGAUUGAAGAGAAUCAAAAGCGGAUUGAGAAACUGGAGGAAUACAUCACCACUAGCAAGCAGUCCCUAGAGGAGCAGAAGAAACUAGAGGGGGAGCUGACAGAGGAGGUGGAAAUGGCCAAGCGGCGUAUUGAUGAAAUCAAUAAGGAAUUGAACCAAGUGAUGGAGCAACUAGGGGAUGCUCGCAUCGACCGCCAGGAGAGCAGCCGACAGCAGCGAAAGGCAGAAAUAAUGGAAAGCAUCAAGCGUCUUUAUCCUGGCUCUGUGUACGGCCGCCUUAUUGACCUCUGCCAGCCCACACAAAAGAAGUAUCAGAUUGCUGUUACCAAGGUUUUGGGCAAAAACAUGGAUGCCAUUAUUGUGGACUCGGAGAAGACAGGCCGGGACUGUAUUCAGUAUAUCAAGGAGCAGCGUGGGGAGCCUGAGACCUUUUUGCCUCUUGACUACCUGGAGGUGAAACCUACAGAUGAGAAACUCCGGGAACUGAAGGGGGCCAAGCUAGUGAUUGAUGUGAUUCGCUAUGAGCCACCUCACAUCAAAAAGGCCCUGCAAUAUGCUUGUGGCAAUGCUCUUGUCUGUGACAAUGUGGAGGAUGCCCGCCGCAUUGCCUUUGGAGGCCACCAGCGCCAUAAGACAGUGGCACUGGAUGGAACCCUCUUCCAGAAGUCAGGAGUGAUCUCUGGUGGGGCCAGUGACCUGAAGGCCAAGGCACGACGCUGGGAUGAGAAAGCAGUAGACAAAUUGAAAGAGAAGAAGGAACGCUUGACAGAAGAGCUGAAGGAGCAGAUGAAGGCAAAACGGAAAGAGGCCGAGCUGCGUCAGGUGCAGUCUCAGGCCCAUGGACUCCAGAUGCGGCUCAAGUAUUCACAGAGUGACCUAGAGCAGACCAAGACACGACAUCUAGCAUUGAAUCUGCAGGAAAAGUCUAAACUGGAGAGUGAACUAGCCAACUUUGGGCCUCGCAUUAAUGAUAUCAAGAGAAUCAUCCAGAGCCGAGAAAGGGAAAUGAAAGACUUGAAGGAGAAGAUGAAUCAGGUAGAGGAUGAGGUAUUUGAAGAGUUUUGUCGGGAGAUUGGUGUGCGUAACAUCCGGGAGUUUGAGGAAGAGAAAGUGAAACGACAGAAUGAAAUCGCCAAGAAGCGUUUGGAGUUUGAGAAUCAGAAGACUCGUUUGGGCAUCCAGUUGGAUUUUGAAAAGAACCAGCUGAAGGAGGACCAAGAUAAAGUACACAUGUGGGAGCAGACAGUGAAAAAGGAUGAAAAUGAGAUAGAAAAGCUCAAGAAGGAGGAACAAAGGCACAUGAAGAUCAUAGAUGAGACCAUGGCUCAGCUACAAGACCUAAAGAAUCAGCACCUCGCAAAGAAGUCAGAAGUGAAUGACAAGAAUCACGAGAUGGAGGAGAUUCGUAAGAAAUUGGGAGGCGCCAAUAAGGAAAUGACCCAUUUACAAAAGGAGGUAACAGCCAUUGAGACUAAGCUUGAACAGAAGCGCAGUGACCGCCACAAUUUGCUACAAGCCUGCAAGAUGCAGGACAUCAAGUUGCCACUGUCAAAAGGCACUAUGGAUGAUAUUAGUCAGGAAGAGGGUAGCUCCCAGGGGGAGGAUUCAGUGAGUGGUUCCCAGAGAAUUUCCAGUAUCUAUGCACGAGAGGCCCUCAUCGAGAUUGACUAUGGCGACCUGUGUGAGGAUCUGAAGGAUGCCCAGGCUGAGGAAGAGAUCAAGCAGGAGAUGAACACACUGCAGCAGAAGCUGAAUGAGCAGCAGAGUGUGCUUCAGCGUAUUGCUGCCCCUAACAUGAAGGCCAUGGAAAAGCUGGAAAGUGUCCGAGACAAGUUCCAGGAGACCUCAGAUGAGUUUGAGGCAGCGCGAAAGCGAGCAAAGAAGGCCAAGCAGGCAUUCGAACAGAUCAAGAAGGAGCGCUUUGACCGCUUCAAUGCUUGUUUUGAAUCUGUGGCUACCAACAUUGAUGAGAUCUAUAAGGCCCUGUCCCGUAAUAGCAGUGCCCAGGCAUUCCUGGGCCCUGAGAACCCUGAGGAGCCCUACUUGGAUGGCAUCAACUACAACUGUGUGGCUCCUGGGAAACGCUUCCGGCCUAUGGACAACUUGUCAGGGGGGGAGAAGACAGUGGCAGCUUUGGCCUUGCUCUUUGCCAUCCACAGAUACCUUCUUCCUGGAGCCCUCCGUCUUCCUGUUCCAAUUUGGACUGAUUGCUCUGUAGGCCUGCGGCACAGCUGUCAUCCUUGGACGUCCCUUCAUUACUCUUCUGGGUUGGACCCAAUCUUUCUUGGACCCCAUAUCUUCCUCUUUCUUAGUUUAUUCCCUUGUGGACACUGGUUUUCUGCAGCAUCCAUUCCACUCCUCCUCCACCAUAUGCAAUUUGAGUGGGAUUGACCCUACCACCACUCUAGGUAUAGGUCCUUAUUGGUAUCUGAGUAAUUUCACCCCAUUAGCCACAAUGAUGAUUGGUUCAGGGAUGAUCCAAUCACAAAUGAGGCUUAGAACUUUUGUUAAGCUUUUGAGGGAAGAGGUGACCUGUCUUCCUUUGGAUGUGAACAAAGAAGCACGCAGCCUGGUUGCUGCUGUUGGCCAUCUCGUGAACAUGUGGGAGACCCACCUGAGGAUGGAGCUGACAAAUGGAGGAGGCAGAGCCAAGAGAAUCAUGAAGAAAUUGAACCAUAUUCCUGAUCAUACCAUGCCUGAAGUGUCCCUGCCUAUGGACUCCUCAUGUUUUGAAAUGUCACAAUGAUGUGCCUAGAAGUGUGCUCUUCCUUCGUCUGUUUUGCUGGGCACCUGGCAUGCUACCUGGAGCUGUGAUAGGCCAUCUCGACCAUGAGGGGAUGAGUAUGGAGAUGAAGACAACACAUUAAGGAAGAAAGAAAGAGCUCAAUUUCUUGAUGGCAUCAUCAAACAACUGAACCCAUGCCUCACUUCCUGUCAUUUGAAAACAAUAAAUUUAAAAAGUAUGUGUUUAA